rnacentral:tRNA from 1 species
CUCCGACUUACUCAGAGGUUAAAGCGUCUGCCUGGAAUGCAGGAGACCCGGGUUCAAUCCCUGGGUCAGGAA